CCCUUUGUGGUGUAGUUGGUAUCACACCCGGCUGUAAUGGAAGCAUGUCACCGGUUGGUCACCAGUUCGACUCUGGUCGAAGGGA
rnacentral:tRNA from 1 species